rnacentral:rRNA from 1 species
AUCUACGGCCAUACUACCCUGAAUACGCCCGAUCUCGUCUGAUCUUGGAAGCUAAGCAGGGUCAUGCCUGGUUAGUACUUGGAUGGGAGACCACCUGGGAAUACCGGGUGCCGUUGGAU